UUUUGAUCAAUUUAAUGCAUCCUUGCUGAAUAAAACUAAUAGUUUCUUUAUUAAAAAAAGUCUUGCUGACUCCAGAGCUUUAAAUGGUAAUGCACAUUUAUUUUAAUGACAGAAAAUGCGAUUGCAUGAAAUGAAACACUUAUUUUACACACUGUUUAAAAAAAAAAAAAUCCACUCCUUUUAAUUGUCCAAGCAGAAAUGAUUACCAGCUAAUCUAAUAAUCCUUAAAUUGCCAAAUGGCAGUCAAUUAACCGUCCUUUAAUACAUUCUCUGUGUUUAAUUAUCCUUAAAUGCAUGUCUCAGGCCUUCCUUCUUUACCUUGAAGGCCUGUACUGGAACAACACGCGUCACCUUCCUGGUGCACAGGUACCACUUCAUCAUCGAGCUGGCCCUGAGCCCGUCCACCGGGAUUGUGCUACGAGACCGUCAUCAUCAUCAUCACAUUCAGUGUCUUGUUUUGGUGUCCUUGUUACACAUAAUUGCUAUUCUAAUAGCAAUUAAUUAUGCAUUAUUACAUGCAAGUAACCCUAAGCCAAAUCCUAAUCCUAACCAUAUAGUAAGUGCAUGUAGUGCAUAAUAUUACUAACAAUGCAUAAUUACACUGUAACGAGGACACCUUAAAAUAAAGUGUAGCUCUUGUUUGAAGAGUGCCAAGUCAUAUGCUGUCUGUUUUCAGGAUGGCAGCACAGGAGAGAUGAUCUUUGAUGUAAUCUUCCACGCUCUGUCUCGAUGUUUGAUUGGUUUGGCAAAACCCUUUAAAGUCCCAGGAACUGAUCACAUGUUCAAGCCAAAGAUCUUCAUCACUAUUCUGACUCCAUCAUUGGCCUUAGUUCUUAUCAGGUGCUGGUUCAGGGCUGUCAGCUGGACUGUAUGGAUUUGGAGCAGUUCUUGCAUCAGAUCUAUCAGCAGCUGAGAGUUGUAGAGAGCAGCAUCGCUGACGUCCUACAGCAGCAGCACAAUCAGGCAAGAGCAGCUCGCUUGUGGUUUUAAUACUGACAAUAAAUCAGUAUGCAGAAAGAAGCCA
ensembl:lncRNA